rnacentral:tRNA from 8 species
GCCGGGGUGGCGCAAUUGGCUGAGACGCGCGGGACUUAAAAUCCUGUGUCCCGAAAGGGAUAUGUGGGUUCGACUCCCACCCCCGGCA